rnacentral:rRNA from 1 species
AGCGAACGUUAGCGGCGGGCCUAACACAUGCAAGUCGAACGCGAAAGGUCUUCGGACUAAGUAGAGUGGCGCACGGGUGAGUAACACGUAGGUAAUCUACCCUUUGGCGGGGGAUAACGUUCCGAAAGGAGCGCUAAUACCGCAUAAGACCACGGAGUCUCCGGACGCUGUGGGAAAAGGUGGCCUCUUCUUGAAAGCUACCACCGAAGGAUGAGCCUGCGUCCCAUCAGCUAGUUGGUAAGGUAAUGGCUUACCAAGGCGAAGACGGGUAGCUGGUUUGAGAGAAUGAUCAGCCACACUGGCACUGGAACACGGACCAGACUCCUACGGGAGGCAGCAGUGAGGAAUAUUGGGCAAUGGGCGAAAGCCUGACCCAGCCACGCCGCGUGAGUGAUGAAGGCCCUCGGGUCGUAAAGCUCUGUGGAGAGGGACGAAAACCCUGGUUUCAAAUAGGCUCCAGGCUUGACGGUACCUCUUUAGCAAGCACCGGCUAACUCUGUGCCAGCAGCCGACGG